AACGCGAAGAACCUUACCAAGUCUUGACAUCCCCCUGACCGGAACUUAACCGUUCCUUUCCUUCGGGACAGGGGAGACAGGUGGUGCAUGGUUGUCGUCAGCUCGUGUCGUGAGAUGUUGGGUUAAGUCCCGCAACGAGCGCAACCCUUAUCCUUAGUAGCCAGCAAGUAGUGUUGGGCACUCUAGGGAGACUGCCAGGGAUAACCUGGAGGAAGGUGGGGAUGACGUCAAAUCAUCAUGCCCCUUAUGAUUUGGGCUACACACGUGCUACAAUGGCGUAAACAAAGAGAAGCAAGACCGCGAGGUGGAGCAAAUCUCAAAAAUAACGUCUCAGUUCGGAUUGCAGGCUGCAACUCGCCUGCAUGAAGCUGGAAUCGCUAGUAAUCGCGAAUCAGAAUGUCGCGGUGAAUACGUUCCCGGGUCUUGUACACACCG
rnacentral:rRNA from 1 species